CCAAAGUAUAUAACAAGGGGAGAACAGUUAGUGCUGAUUUUCAUUUGCAUACAUUUUCAUAUAUUUUGGUGAAAAUAAUAGACUAGUGCGAGCUGGGCUUAGAGGACUCAGUGUAAAGGGAAGGCUUAGGCUCUGACGGUGCUGGAGAGUUAAGAAUGUGCCUUCCCUCCACCCCCACCCCAGGCACCUUAUUUAAAAAAAAACAAAAAACACCUUCUUUUAUUUAAAAAAAAAAAUCUAACCUUGGAAGUUUGCUCGUGCCAAGAUAGAAGCACUUUCCUGUGAGAAGUAUCCUUUUAACACACACACACACACACACACACACACACGCACAUGCACACGCACGAGUGCGCACAUUUUCCCAGUGAUGGGGACUAUUGAAUUCAGGGCCUCAUGCCUGCUAGGCAAAUGCUCUGCCACUGAGCUAUACUGCCAGGCCUUUUAAGGACAUUUUAUUUUGAGACAGGAUCUUCCUAAGGUGCCCAGGCUGGUUUUGAAUUUAGGAUCCACUUGCUUUAGCCUCCUGAGUAGCUGAGAUUAUAGGUAUAUGCCACUAGGCUUAACUUCCUUCUUUAUACAGUGGUACCUCAGUUCAUGAACUUAAUUCUUUCCAUGAUUCUGAUUGUAAACUGAAUUGGAUGAGAACCAAAUCAAAUUCAAUGGUUAGGUUUGAUGUCGACCUUAUGGGGAAAUUUAAUUUGGUUCUCAUGCAAUUUGGUUUGCAAUCAGAAUCAUGGAAAGAAUGGUUUGUGAACCGAGGCACCACUGUAUUCUCUUAAAAGUUAAAAUGUAAAUAAAUAAGUAUAAUUUAAUAUAGUAAUUAAAUAUGCACAUAGCAUGUCUGAGUAAGUGUUUACCAGUGUCCUUCCCUUUCAGGCCCCUGCAUUUUAACAUAGACUUGCCAGAGGAAGCUGGCUCAUGUGCAUUUUGUGAAGGAAAGUGAGCAGCAUGGGGUUGUCCACUGGAGACUCCAUAUGGCACACUGCAGUAUGCUCCUGUGUCCAAGGCUGAAACUUAGAACCAUAUCUCAGUUCUGGAUCUGGCAUCCAGGCCCAUCUUGAUCCUGGGUUUAGGAGACAGCCUAUAGCAUGCAGCUCCCUUUGAGACAUGUGACAAGCAUGUGGAUAAAGACCCAGAGUCUUCAAAGCUAAUUUCACCUCUGACAUCUGACCUCUUCAGUCAAUAUCCCUCAGUACUGGGUAUCUCAUAGGUCCCUGUUCCUCCUUCCCUGUGUCCUAUUGUCCUAGUUCAGACCCCACCUCUGUCACUCAUUGCCGGGACCACAGAACCAGUGGGAUCCUAGCCUUCAACUCUUCCUCUUCCCCACCAUUCCCACACUCACUCUAAAUGGGAAGCUGAUAGUUUGCCCCUUGCUGAAAAUUGUGCAGUGGUUUUACGUUGCUCUACAAGAUGAUUCGAUUCAGCAUCUGUCCUUCCAGGGUAUUUCAGUCUGCUUAGGUAGCAUCACACAAUACCUUGGACUAGAUGAUUUACAAUCAGUAAAAAUUUACUGUGCAUGGUUCUGAAGGUGGUGAAGUCCAGGAUCUGGCUCCUGAAAGACUGCAUGACUGGGACAGCAGAGGAAGAGGGAUAAAGUGCCUGGAUAUGUGCAUUCAUCGAGUGUCCUGAAGAUGCUCCUUCUGACUGGAAGAGCUGAAGAGACAAGACUUUUCACUAAGUGAUAUUUUUGAUGCAGUCUAAGGAUUUAUCUCAAAAUCCCAGUCACAUUACUUCCUGAGAACAAAAGGUCUGCUGAAGUUGCCUGAUGAAAAGUCCAGCCUUCCAGAAUCUUCCAUUCUACAAGUGCUACCUACAGUGACUCUGAGAGAUGGGAAUGAUGAAAACCUGGGGAUGGGGAGCCAGACCUUGCCUGGUGGAUGGGCGGUAGUCUGUGAACUCUAUUGUGGGGUGCUGGGUUACAGGAAGUGGCCUUGAGCAAUGUGGCCAAGUUGGGACUUAGAAGGCAGCAUGUGAGGGGCCUGAAUUCUGGACAGUGACCUCUUCAGUCUUCACCAGAACUGCACAGAUAUCCUUGCCAAGCUUGCUUACCAGCUGUGGACGUGCUCGAUUCUGGAGCUCAUGCCCCUCCAGGCCAUGGCCCAUCUCCAUGUGGAGCUGAAGAUCCUUCCUCCUGGAGCCCUCUUCUUGGUGUUUGUCUUACUUCACAUCCAAUGGAGCUCAUUCUUAGACAUGAAAGCCCAAGACAACAUAUCUGAAGACAGUCUUUUCUUACCAAGCAUAAAAACUCCAUUUCUUCACCUUGGCUUGGUGGAGGAGUUUCUGUGGCUGUGGCCACCCUAGCCCCCUCUGGACAAGCUGCCCUCUCUCCAGCUUCGUAGGGCAGUGUGCACAACACACCAGAAGUUCAGGAACAGUCUGCUCCAGCACAUGAGACCCUCACUCCACCAAUGCAACCAGAAGUUGAUUUAAUCUGAUUUAAAUUUUUGGCAAGCACAUCAUUUCUAAUUGUACUACACUUACCAUUGGUUAAAAUGCUUUCUUUUAUAUUGAUGAUUGUAUGGAAGCACAUGGUCUUAAAGUCACCCAGACAGCCCAAGAGAAUGAAUCUGUUUACAAAUAGUAUCACUGCAGGCUGGACAUGAAAAUGAGACCCCCAUCAAGACGCACUAAUACCUGUAAUUUAUGGGGAUUCAAGGUCACCAGUGGCUCCCACAGGCUGGUGACAAUGAACUUCGCUCUGAGGGGGGGGGGCAUAUCCUCAGCCAGCUCCUCCCACUGCAAUCUCCUUCCACUCCAUGAGUCAAAUCUGCCCAGCUGUGAUGUACCUCUUUGUGUCUUUGCAAGCUGUUCCUGCCAUGGAAAGGUGAGGUGGCCAGGCCCUGGGUAUCACCCCUUUCCUCCCCACAGUACCCCUGCAAGCAGUCAGUCUUGUGCUCUUUUCACAGAUCUGGAAGUAGAAGCUCAGUUCAGAGUUGUCUUCCCAGGGUCAUAGAAUAGCUGACCCUGGGUUUGGACUCAGGUGGGUCACAUUUGGUUGUUCCAGGUUGGGUCCCUCAGCAACCUGUCACUGGUGAGGAGACAGUGGGCCCUUGGUGUCACCAUGCCAGAGCUCCAUGGCCAGGAAUCAGUGUGGGGCCUUCCCCUGCACAGGGGUGGCCAGUGCCAUGUCCAGCUCUGUCGCUUUGCCUGGGUGAACUGGACAUUGAACAGCUUUGCUCUUUGCAUUUGGUUCCAGAAGAGAACACUUGCUCCAGUUCUUACUCCUUACACAUCCUCAGCUGUUUCUCAUUAUAAUCCCAGAGCCAGUUGCAUGCCCCUCAGUGCCCCUGGUACUUCCAAAAAUGGGUGAGUGUGCUACAGGGCUGAAACCCCCAGGGGGAGCCUCCUCAUCAGUUCUGAUGCUCACCCCUGGAUUGGAGGUGGCCACACAGCCCAUCCUGCUUCAGCCCCACCCAGAAAGGGAUGCUGGGUGACAGCUGGCUUCACGCUGCUGCUCGGUGGUGAUGUCUUGUGAAGAUCCCUUCCCUGUGCUCAUUACACUGUAGUCGUACUGCAGGGGACAGAGGUGAACGCUGUGUAUUUAUCUGAUUAAGGUGCCCGUUGUUUCAAAUCUAUUUUCACAGAGACUUUCUCCCUCUGGUAGACAUUCAACUACAUAACACAUUAAAAAUUAUAUCUGCAUUUGUGACUUCCUCUCUUGUGUUGAUGUGGCCCCAUGUAUGUGUGCACAUGUGUGUGCUAACUUCUGUCCCUUGUAGGAUCAAUAUGUACUCCACAAUUAUGAAACCAAUGCCAUCUUUUAAAAAGCAAGGUUGAUAUACACCCAGUAAAAAAUAAACUAACCUGGCCCAGUUACAUAGAAUACCGGUUACACAAAUUACAUGACAACCAGAAAGCACAGUGACUCACUUUUUUUUAUCCCAUGUCCUUCCCCCUGAGAGACAGACUCUCGUUUCUGUGAGCAUUUGGGCAACUGCACUUCUGGACCAGCCCUGUCCAGUUCUGGCUUUUGAGUGGGACUUCAAGUAUCUCCCUCCUUCUGGCUACCAUUAUGAGAGCCCUCAUUAAUCUUUGAGUUCUUUGUUCCCCACUUUGGUAAAAGAAUAACGCCACCCCCAGAAUUAUGCAAAAAUCAGUGGUAAAGUUAAUUGGAAUCUGAAUCUCUUAAUGUUUUCCUCUUUCUUCAAUGACUGUUUGUUUCUGAAAAGUGAGGCUCAACUCAGAAGAAGAUUAUAAUUGGGUGAGUGAACUGGUCCUUGAGAGAAAGUGGGUAGAGAUUGUCUUCCAAACAACACAAGAUAGUGUUUACACUUAGGGUUUCUGUGCAAGUUUUACCCUGCAGCUUCUGGGGUGACAGCAGGUGAGAAGGAUAUGACCAGGGUAUCUCCAUGCACAUCCUGAAGACCUUGGAAGGGGAAGGACCUGGCUCCUUCCUCCCAGGGGACUGAGAGGCAGGAAGGAAGAGAAGAAAGGAUAGAGGAGGUGCUGAUGGCCAGAAAGUGGCCAGCUUCUUAUUUUAAUUAUGGGACAAAUCCCCAACUCUGGUGAAUGAGCUAUUCACCUCCUACCUACUUGGGUCCUCCAUGUAGCUUCAUAGUACCAAAGCAUUUUAUAUUUAUAGCAGCAUGUAACAUGCCGUGUAAGCAGUGUAUAACAUGCCAUGCAAAGUGUUUCCCUGGAUUCUCAUGUCAACGUGUUGGGGGCAAACUGGAAAGAUGCUUAUCUCAACUUUAUAGAGGAAGAAACCGAGGUCCCAGUGGCUUGUGGAUUGUCCAAGGCAGCCAACCUGCAGGUAGAGGCAGGGGUAAGGUCUGCAGGCUCAGAGAGGAAGAGAAAGGGUUGAUAGGGGCAGAAACUUGUCUCAAAGGUAGCUGCUGAUUGAUGAGGUGAGCAAAGUUUAUAGAAAACAACAG
rnacentral:lncRNA from 1 species